AUCAAUCACUGAUUAUUGGUUGUUUGCUGUGAUGUAUUUGUGAACAAACCCAACUCAAACACAAAGAUUACACCAUAUUGUAGCCAUGGCAACACAACAAUCAAAUUGUCAAGAUGGUUCUUUAAACUUUUACAGGGUAAACUCCCUGCUUAAAUCCUAAAUGUACAAUUCUUUUCUUAUCAGCGCGCAGUACUCCGAUGAUGUUUUGUUACUCAUUCUGCUGCAAGUUGGCUCAAUUUUGACGCGCAAGACGUAACCGGUAAAAUCCGGUUUAGGAUUUUCAAAAUAAAAGAUCCGGAAGUAGUUCAUUAUUUCUUGUGCGGACCGGUACCAGUCGGUGGCCCGGUGGUUGGGUACCACUGAUCUAGUGGAUGAAGAGGGAAGCAGCAGGCAACAGAAAAUCCCCCAAAAGAGCCAAACCUCGGUUCCCAACAUUUAUUAUAAGUUAUUGGGGUCACAAUCAGUGGUUUAUGUCACUAUGGAGAAAAAUGUAGAUGCAUUUAUCUGCUGUAUGUGUGAUGGGAUCUGGAUUCACGCUUCAAUUAGGUGAAUAUUAACAAUACCGCAUAAAAAUGCGGCUAAGUAGCCGAUGUUAAUAUGACUAUAAUUUGACAGGUAAAAAUAGUAUAUGACCGAUUUUUUUAAUGUGGUCAGUCAAGAUGACGGAUAACAAAAAAGUCUAGCGCGACCUCUGAUUGGCAUUGUUAAAAGUAGAAAAAUAGUCAGCAAUUUCAUAAAGUCAGUUGAUGCUGGCAUUAGCUAUAAAGUGUGGGGUAAGUAUGGAGACACACUACCUGAAAAGCUUUCCAUCCAUUGACACGCUGGUCCUUGCAGGGUGGUGAGGGGGGCUGGUGGUGCCCAUCUCCAGCAGCCAUCAGAUGAGAGUCGGGGUUCACCCUGAACAUGUCACCAGUCCAUUACAGAGUUCUGAAAGCUAACAAUGAAUAUAAUGUAUGAAAGAGAAAUGGUACAAUAACAAAGGGAAUACAUUCUGUCAAAUUAUUUUCAAAUCAAUACAUGUUUAUUAAGCACUUUGUAGUGUUGGAAAUACACUAGUUUCUGCUGUUGUUAAAAUGUAGCCAGCUGCUCAGUAAGAAAAAAACUUGUCCCAUGAAGACGAUGUGGAGAUUUAUCCAAAGAACUGUGGUGGUGCUCUUUUGGGGCCCGGGCCCCUUCUGAGACAGGAAAGUCUUUAGGUUUUGUAAUACCUGGUCCCUCGCUUCCUCUUUCACCUUGAUUUGCUUAGACUGCAAAAAUAGGUUGAAGAUAAAAAUGAGUGAUAACAGCCUCACAACAAAGUCUCCUUGACAUACUGAGUUUAAUUAAAACCAGAUUAAGUUAUAUUUAAGAUUACCACCAGCUAGCAAAAAGUUAGCAUCCUUUGUCCCUUCAGGCUCCUUUCAUGACCCACGUUUCAUUUCCAUCCAGUUCUUGUCCAGUUGAGUUGUCGUCUAACUCGGACUAGGACGUCACCAGCUUGAAUUUACCAAAACUACUAACUAUUAUCAAGGCUCUCUCUACUUUUAAGGGAAUAUUAUCAAACUUAUUACUAAUGUGUGCCUUGUCAUGCUAUUUUCUUAGAAUUUUCUAUGAAGACUGGAAAAAACAACAAAACAUUGCCAUAAAUUCACCUUUUAAUGCAAAACGUCACAUGCAGCAACGAAUUGCUGCAUGUGACGUUUUGCAUUAAAAGGUGAAUUGUAAUAGAUUCGACCAAAGUCUGCCUGGAUGCGGACUUAAAGGUGGAAAUAGGACCCAAAAUGGGCGGGGUGAAGGGCGCCCAGUUGGAUGUGGAGAAUGUGGGACACACUACGCACUCAAACCCUUCAACAUGAACGCGCAUUAGAAGAACACAAGGGUGGAACCAGGGUGGGAGUGGGAGUAUUGGGACAGGGCCUACGUGUUCAUGUUUAUGAGUUUGAAACAGUUCCUGUAUUGGUCACAUGACUUUCUUAUCGCGAUAUGCACACUGACACAUGCUCCGACGUGUUGCCGGACAAACCACUGCCUCCUGUGGAUCCCAGUGGGAAGUUCAGCUGCCUGAAAGCAGGAUACCAUUUCUACCUCUCUGCCUCGCUCCAUCAGACUUCUAGAUCUCUAAUAUGACCGCCGAUCUCUUUCUCACCUCUGGAAUUAUCAUAAUCCAUUCACCACACCGGACUCUGGCUGUUCCUCCCUAGUGCACCACUCAGAUCCGUUCAAGAACGGAACCGUUCCUGUGAUCUUCCCACUCCAGAAAAACAAGAAGAUCUUUUCACCUGUACAAUCUGAUCUCAAUUUGAAAAUAAAUACAAUUUCUUUAUGUGG